UCCAGCUCUGAAUCCCCUCUUUGUGCAUCCCAGGAUGGAUCCUGGGGUUAAUCCCAGUGUGUGAUCCAUGCUGGAAUCUCACAGAUCUUCUCUUUCUGCAGGAAGGGACAUGGAACUCAACAGAUGAACCACACGUAUGGAGCAGGAUUGGGAAAUCACCGCCGGAGCGAUCCACAGAGUUGGAUCUGGCCCUUUCCCUCUUCCCAGGAAAGCCGAGAGCUGCCAGCAGAGCUCAUCCCACUGCUGCCACCCACCCCACAGCUCUUGCUAAUGGAUCAAUUUCCUGUUUUCCAAUGUUUUAGAGCCAAAACCCACAAAUAUUCCUGAUGCUUUAGUUCUGGUGUGAAAUUAUCCUGCUUGGGGCAAGAAAUCCUGCUUGGGGCAAGAAA